AUACUUACCUGGACGUGGUCGAUGGUUGAUUGAUCAAGAAGGCCCAUGGCCUAGGUUGACGACCUCUAUUGCAUAGAGGACGGUUGCCCGCCUAACAUCUCCCCUAGUGGGAGAGUGUACGUCAUAAUUUGUUCUAUUGGGGGUACGCGUUCGCGUGGCCCCUAC
rnacentral:snRNA from 1 species